UACGGGGGGGGCAAGCGUUGUUCGGAAUUACUGGGCGUAAAGGGCUCGUAGGCGGCCAACUAAGUCGGAUGUGAAAUCCCCAGGCUCAACCUGGGAACUGCAUCCGAUACUGGAUAGCUUGAAUCCGGGAGAGGGAUGCAGAAUUCCAGGUGUAGCGGUGAAAUGCGUAGAUAUCUGGAGGAAUACCGGUGGCGAAGGCGGCAUCCUGGACCGGCAUUGACGCUGAGGAGCGAAAGCUAGGGGAGCAAACGGG
rnacentral:rRNA from 1 species